GGGGACGUUACGGAUUCGACAGGGGUAGAUUGAGCUCAAGUUGCGUGUCGAGGUUACGACUCGUUAAUCGUUACCCGCCAAUAAUAACUGGCAAACAAAACAAUUUCUCUUUAGCAGCUGCGUAAGUAGCCUAAAGGAUCCUUCCUAGCAUCGCCCGUGUGCCAGGUUAGGGUCUCAACUUUAGCGGGAUACGCUAGUCACCCACCGUCUGGGGUGACUAGAAGAGCACAAUCAGACUAGCUACUAGGACGCCUGUUGAUUGGCUGAAUAGCUAGCGAAUUGUGAAUAAAUCAACUACACAUGUAGAAGCUUGAGUGCCAAUAUCUCUGGACGUGGGUUCAACUCCCACCGUCUCCACCA
rnacentral:tmRNA from 1 species